UCAGCUCCCUCGCCGUCACCGGCCUCCUGUACGUCCUCACCUUCCCGUCGCUCCCCACCAGCCUCACCGCCGCCGCCUCCCGCUUCUCCUCCUCCUCCUCCUCCUCCUCCUCCCGCGGCGGGGAGGGGCACGGCGACGGCGCGGGCGGCUGCGGGAAGCAGGAGG
rnacentral:sRNA from 1 species